rnacentral:rRNA from 1 species
AACGAACGCUGGCGGCAUGCCUAAUACAUGCAAGUCGAACGAUCACUUCGGAUCUAGUGGCGCACGGGUGCGUAACGCGUGGGAAUCUGCCCUUGGGUUCGGAAUAACGUCGGGAAACUGACGCUAAUACCGGAUGAUGACGUAAGUCCAAAGAUUUAUCGCCCAAGGAUGAGCCCGCGUAGGAUUAGCUAGUUGGUGGGGUAAAGGCCCACCAAGGCGACGAUCCUUAGUUGGUCUGAGAGGAUGAUCAGCCACACUGGGACUGAGACACGGCCCAGACUCCUACGGGAGGCAGCAGUAGGGAAUAUUGGACAAUGGGGGCAACCCUGAUCCAGCAAUGCCGCGUGAGUGAUGAAGGCCUUAGGGUUGUAAAGCUCUUUUACCCGGGAUGAUAAUGACAGUACCGGGAGAAUAAGCCCCGGCUAACUCCGUGCCAGCCGCCGCAGUAA